rnacentral:lncRNA from 1 species
CAAAGAACGAUAGCCAUUCAUUCAGCAAAUAUUUGAGGGUGGCCGGGCGCGGUGCCUCACACCUGUAAUCCCACCCUGUCUUUGACAUCUUAUCUGACAAUCUCCCCCUCCUUCUCCAACACUUGGUUAGGUGGCUUUUCUAUGUUCUCCUAUAACACACUACACUUCUCCCAGCACAGAACUUACCACACUGCACAAUGGUCUGUUUGCCAAUCAGAGAAGCAACAUGCCAGCAUGGCAGGGAAUCCAGGCUUUGGGGGCGGACAGUUCUGGGUUUGAAAAUAUCCCCACCUCUCACUAGCUGUAUGACUAUCAGCAAGUUACUAAAUCUCUAGGCUUUGAACUCCUCAUCUGUAACACGGGCUAGAAACACCUACCUCACAUGGUUGCUGCAAAGACUAAAUCAGACAAGGCAGGAAGAACAUGGUACAAGCACCUAAGAAGCACUCAGUAAGUGGUAGUUAUUUUUUAUUAUUUUUUGAGACGAGGUCUGUCAUGCAGGCUGGAGUACAGCGGCAUGAUCAUGGCUCACUGCAGUCUCAACCACCCAGACUCAAGCGAUCCUCCCACCUCAGCCUCCAGAGUAGCUGGGACCACAGAUGUGUACCAUCACACUCAGCUAAUUUUAAAAUUAUGAAUAUUUGUAGAGGUGAGGUCUCACUACGUUGCCCAGGAUGGUCUCGAGCUCCUGACCUCAAGUGAUCUGCCCACAUUGGCCUCCCAAAGUGCUGGAAUUACAGGCUAAGCCACCACACCCGGCCUAUUAUUUCCCUAUUAUAAUGGAACUAAGAGCAGAAACCUUAUAAAUUGCUCAAUUUUCCCAGCGUUCAGCAUAGGUACCUAGGAAAUAUAUGUUGAUGCAUGAAUGAGAACAGAGAACAAAGAAGAUGGGGGGAAAAAAUCAAAGGUAGGACCCCCAGAUUUGAGGAGAUAUCUAAAUACCUGAGAGAAUUAUUUUUAUUUUUAUUUAUUGUGAAACAGAGUCUCACUCUGUCGCCCAGGCUGAAGUGCAGAGGCGUGAUCUCAGCUCACUGCAACCUCUGCCUUCCAGGUUCAAGUGUUUCUCCCGCCUCAGCCUCCCGAGUAGCUGGGAUUACAGGCGCACGCCACUGUGCCCGACUAAUUUUUUGUAUUUUUAGUAGAGAUGGAGUUUCACCAUGUUGGCCAGGCUGGUCUCGAACUCCUGACCUCAGGUGAUCCACCCACCUUGGCCUCCCAAAGUGCUGGGAUUACAGGCAUGAGCCACUGUGACCGGCCAAUAAUUUUUAAAGCUAAUAUUUUUAUAAGUAGUUACAAUGCACCAGAUACUGCCUAUGUAUAUAACUAAUUUAAUCCUCACAACCUUAUGAGGUAGAUACUAGCAUUUCUAUUCUACACUUGAGGAAACAGGCACAGAUAAGUGGAAGUGACUCACCCAAGGUCCUACCAAACUGUUGAGUAGCAGAACCCUGCCAAUUUGGCAUUAGUGGCCGGCUAUUUAAUCAUGACUCCACGCUACCUUUCAAAUAAAAGCAGAUGGUAAGGAAAGGACAGCUGUGAGGACUGAACCAUUAAGCACAUUCCCCUAACAGAGAAAGGGAAUUGCAAAGGUGGCAGAACAAACACAGUAACAGAUGAGUUUUAAGGAGGAAUUAAAAAAAAACUUUAGGCCGGGCGCCAUGUCUCACGCCUGUAAUCUCAGCACUUUGGGAGGCCGAGGCGGGUAGAUCAUUUGAGGUCGGAAAUUGGAGACCAGCCUGGCAAACAUGGUGAAACUCCGUCUCUACCAAAGAUACAAAAAAUUAGCUGGGUGUGGUGGCACGCACCUGUGGUCCCAGGUACUCAUGGUGCGGCCACCAUUGCAUCUUGGGCCUCACUAACCAGUUCCCGUUUGUUGGAUUCAAUACUGUCUCACCACACAGGCCAAUCUUGUGUUUUAUUAAUUUUUUAAAUUUUUUUUUUUUUUUUUGUAGAGAUGGGCUCACUAUGUUGCCCAGGCUGGUCCUGAACUCCUGAGGUAGGAGGAUCGCUUGAGCCUGGGAGACAGAGGUUGCAGUGAGCCGAGAUUAUGCUACUGCACUCCUGCCUGGGUGACACAGUGAGACUCUGUCUUAAACAAAACAAAACAAAAAAAGGCCAGGCGCAGGGGCUCACACCUGUAAUCCUAGCACUUUGGGAGGCCAAGGUGGGUGGAUCAUUUGAGGUCAGGAGUUUGAGACCAGCCUGAUCAGCAUGGUGAAACCCCGUCUCUACUAAAAACAGAAAAAUUAGCCAGGUGUCGUGGCUUGCACCUGUAGUCCCAGCUACUCAGGAGGCUGAGACAGGAAAAUUGCUUCAACCAGGGAGAUGGAGGCUGCAGUGCGCAGAGUCGCGCCACUGCCUGGGUGACACAGUGAGACUCCAUCUCAAAAAAGCCCAGGGUGCUUGGCGCCAAAAAAGGGAUCUCUGACCUUGUGUUCAUUAUGACCUUCAAAAGAGUGAAGUGGUGAGGGCAUGAGGGCAGAGGAAAAGAAGGGCUUAAGACAACGAAGGAAAAGAAGGCACCAGAGUCUAGUGCCUUUGCCGCCAAACCUAAGCCUAUAAGGUUGGCAGCAAAACCAAAGCACAAACUGAUAGCAAAGGAGGUAAAGCCAGGGGAGAAGAAACUGAAGACGUCAAAGACAGAAAUGAAGCACAUCAUCUGGUUUAAAACAAAUGAUAGAGUUUUUACAGUUCUGGAAAAUGACCGUAUAAUAUUCUCUGCUAAGAAGAAUAACUUCUGCUAAACAACCAUAAGACUGCAGCUGGCUCUACUCAGAUCUGCUUAUUCCAACAAGACCAAGGUGCUAGUUCUAACUUCGAGUAGUCCCUCUGUAUGGCUGCAGCGUUGCGCACAGUGGACUGCCGGUCACAAGGAAGACUGGAUGAGCGUGGGUUCACACAUUUCCCACACUUGCCUCAGCAAAAGAACCACCUGGGACACUUGUUUAAAAAUGACAGAUUCCCACGGUCCACCUCGGCAGAUUCUGAUCCUGCCACGCCAGGGAGCUGUAUUUUUCAACAAGUACACCAGGUGAUCACGCAAGUUUAAGAAAUUAGCACAAGUUGGCCGGGCGCAGUGGCUCACGCCUGUAAUCCCAG